rnacentral:rRNA from 1 species
CGAAUUUUGAGGGCUUAAAGUUAUUACCGAAACUUCAAACAAAAUUUUUUUAAUACAUUUUUUUGUGGUAGCAGAACAUUCCGUAGGUUGUAAAAGCUAUAGUGUAAACUAUUGUGAAGAUAUCGGAAGCGAGAAUACUUGCAUGAGUAGCACAAAACAACGAUAAACGUUGUGGCCGUAAGUCUAAGGUUUCCGAUCUAAAGUAAAACUGGGUUGGUAGAAGUAUGUACUUCUAGAAAAAACGGUCCCUAAGCUGGCAGGCCAAGGCUUGUGGUAAUGGGUAAGAUUAUACUGUGAUAAGUAACUGACGAAAAAUUCACUUUAUUUUUAAUA